AUUUAUAUAAUUUAUUAAGAAUAUUGCAUUGAAGCUGCAAAAGAGACAUAAUUUGUCUGUAAAUA
rnacentral:tRNA from 1 species